UCGAACGGUAGAGAGAAGCUUGCUUCUCUUGAGAGCGGCGGACGGGUGAGUAAUGCCUAGGAAUCUGCCUGGUAGUGGGGGAUAACGUCCGGAAACGGACGCUAAUACCGCAUACGUCCUACGGGAGAAAGCAGGGGACCUUCGGGCCUUGCGCUAUCAGAUGAGCCUAGGUCGGAUUAGCUAGUUGGUGAGGUAAUGGCUCACCAAGGCGACGAUCCGUAACUGGUCUGAGAGGACGACCAGCCACACUGGAACUGAGACACGGUCCAGACUCCUACGGGAGGCAGCAGUGGGGAAUAUUGGACAAUGGGCGAAAGCCUGAUCCAGCCAUGCCGCGUGUGUGAAGAAGGUCUUCGGAUUGUAAAGCACUUUAAGUUGGGAGGAAGGGCAGUAAAUUAAUACUUUGCUGUUUUGACGUUACCGACAGAAUAAGCACCGGCUAACUCUGUGCCAGCAGCCGCGGUAAU
rnacentral:rRNA from 1 species